GGACUACACGGGUUUCUAAUCCUGUUUGCUCCCCUAGCUUUCGCAGCUCAGCGUCAGUGAUGGCCCAGUAACCUGCUUUCGCCUUAGGUAUUCCUCCCGAUAUCUACGCAUUUCACCGCUACACCGGGAAUUCCAGUUACCCCUACCACACUCUAGCCGGAUAGUUUCCGUUGACCUCUCCCAGUUAAGCCGGGAGCUUUCACAACGGACUUAUCCAACCGCCUACCUGCGCUUUACGCCUAGUGAUUCCGAGUAACGCUUGCCACCUACGUAUUACCGCGGCGGCUGGCAC
rnacentral:rRNA from 1 species